GCGGGCCCUGCCUGACUUCUGGGGCGACCCCCUUCCCUCUCCGCUCCCCCACCGGGCCUCCGCCAAGGAAAGAGUAAAACCAGGGGCAUUUUUUAGUCCGUAAGGGUCCUUUGGACUUGUGAAAAUCACCAGGAGGCAGUCUGGAGGCUGUGGGGGUCACGACGGCCGGUCUGGAGGGGUAAAAGAAGUCACCCAAGGUCAAAGGGGCCGGUAAGAGUUACCAGGUAUCACCCAAAGGCUUGUAGGGGGGGUCGCCAGAGGUCGACUGGUGUGGGGGGAGGGUGGCAGGAAGCACAAGAGAUCAUUAAACCCAUUUGAGUAUUCACCAGAGGUCAGGGGAAAGGGUUUGUGCACACAAGUGCGAAGGCUGGGCCUCAGCCUGGCUCCAGGAAGUGCCCGCGGUGCCAAAGAGCGGUCGGAGGUGCGCAGGCCUCGGUGCUGGGGAAGGAAGAAGCACGUCUCCCCCAUCCCCGGCCCCAGCUCCCGAGAGCGGCUCCCCGGCGCUGAGCCGGAUGGUCCUGGCAAGGAGCCUCACCCCUACCGCACGUGAGGCCUGCCACCUCUUUUCGCCCUUCCCCCUUGACUACAGGCCUGUUGCCUGGAGAUGUGAGCGUGCUGGCCGGUGGGGGCUAGAGGCAAAAGUGCAAUGUGCCUAAGGGAGCCGCAAAUUCUCCAUCUCUUCUUCGGACAGCCCUUCGUGGAGGGCUCCCAGCACACUUUCGCCCUGUCGGGCUUGGUGAAGCUCCUUUACGGCGAGUUUCCAGUCCGCCCCGGAUUUUCCCGAAUUCUCCCGUUUAUGUGACUAAGAAACUGAAGAAGAAUCCGGCGGGAAGAAGGGGCUCCAGCCCGGCAGGAGCAGACACAGAGGGUUGCCAAGCCCGAGACGGAACUGGGGCGGGAGCCGCACCUCACGCUUUCGGACAAGCUGGGCGCUACGUUCGGACCUUCAGACAACUGAGAGCGUAGAGGAGGCGCCUCCGAGGCCUUGCCCACUAAUUCAAACUGCACCGCGUCCCCAUUUGGCGGAUAAACAGACUGAGGGCGCCCGGGACACGGCGGCUGGAAGGGAGAGCCCCACACCACUACUAGCUAGUGUUCACGAAUCACGAAUGAAUGAAUCGGAGAUACGGUGCGCGGGAAGAAUCAGCGAGGCUCCAACGGCAAACCGUACUCUGGGUACCUGGGAAAAAGGAACUUGG
rnacentral:lncRNA from 1 species